AACGAACGCUGGCGGCAGGCCUAACACAUGCCAGUCGAGCGAGACCUUCGGGUCUAGCGGCGGACGGGUGAGUAACGCGUGGGAACGUGCCCUUUUCUACGGAAUAGUCUCGGGAAACUGAGCGUAAUACCGUAUACGCCCUUUGGGGGCAAGAUUUAUCGGAGAAGGAUCGGCCCGCGUUGGAUUAGGUAGUUGGUGGGGUAAUGGCCUACCAAGCCUACGAUCCAUAGCUGGUUUGAGAGGAUGAUCAGCCACACUGGGACGGAGACACGGCCCAGACUCCUACGGGAGGCAGCAGUGGGGAAUCUUAGACAAUGGGGGCAACCCUGAUCUAGCCAUGCCGCGUGAGUGAUGAAGGCCUUAGGGUUGUAAAGCUCUUUCAGCUGGGAAGAUAAUGACGGUACCAGCAGAAGAAGCCCCGGCUAACUCCGUG
rnacentral:rRNA from 1 species